rnacentral:rRNA from 1 species
GGUAAUUUGACCGUGCAAAGGUAGCAUAAUCAUUAGUUUUUUAAUUGAAAGCUGGAAUGAAAGGUUUGAUGAGAAAAAAGCUGUCUCUAUUUAAUUUAUUUAGAAUUUUAUUUUUAAGUUAAAAAGCUUAAAUUUAAAUGGAAGACGAGAAGACCCUAUAGAGUUUUAUUAAUUUUUUUUAUAAAAAUAAUAGUAUUUUUUAUUUUUUUAAGAAAUAUUAAUUUGGUUGGGGUGAUUGAAAAAUUAAAUUAACUUUUUUUUUAUUGUUACAUUUAUAUAUGAUUAUUUGAUCCUUAGUUUAAGAUUAAAAGAUAAAAUUACCUUAGGGAUAACAGCGUAAUUUUUUUUGAGAGUUCUAAUCGAAAGAAAAGAUUGCGACCUCGAUGUUGGAUUAAAAUAAAAUUUUGGUGUAGAAGCUAAAA